GUGCAGUGCUGCAUCUCUUC
rnacentral:miRNA from 1 species